GUUUGUUUUGGAUCCCUGGUUAGGGGAGGGGCUGAGGGCAGAAUUGUGAAGCAGCUGCAGCCAAUGGGCAAAGGGCUGGUAAGGCGUUCACUUCCUCCUUCAGUCUUUCUUGUGGCUUCGCGCGCUCAGGUUCCCACCAGGCCUUCCUUGCUCAGUUAACUAUUUCUGGAAACAUGUUCCCAGAUACACCCGAACAUCCAUGGUGAUUCUAAGUCUAAUAAGGUCCCUAAUUUCAGAACAAAAGUCUGGAUGGGAAGACAAACUCAAUUAACGAACUGAUGACAUUUUUUCAGUAAUAGAGAUGUUGAAGGCAAGGUUUUUAACAACUCUCUGUCUGUGUGUGUGAUGAUGGCAGGCCAAACAAGAAGUCGCCUAAUUGUAUAGAGGACAAGGCAGGAAUUCCCAGGGAUCACCUCUCAGGAAUGAUAUCCAAACUGGAAAGAUUUCUUCAUACAAUCUUUACUGGGUACUGUCAAUCAUAGCCAGAGACUCAAAGAAAAUAAACAUGUUGAUCAGUGAAAAUCCUAGAAGACACUAAACACAAGCAUUGCUGUUCUUUAGAGGGGAGGUGGUGAUAGAUCUAGGAACAAAGUUAGGAAAGAGCGUGAUAAAAUUAUAAACUGCUUAACCACACAGGCUAACAGUCAUGGAAAAACCCAUGUCAUGUUAAUAGCAACACUGGCAUGUUAUGUGAACAUAACAUUGCUGGUACCACUUAAAUUCUCAGUUCUUCCAGAGUGUGCAAGGGCUUCCUCUCCAAGCCACAAGUCUGAAAUUCAUGAGAUUUUGUAUUGGACACUGCUUGACAAGGGCACAGUAGCGUUUUCUUUUCCAGUAGAAGAAUUUCAUCUUCUAAAUCUAUUAUAACUGGACAAUGAAACUUGCUGAGCUGGCUAGAGUAUGAACACAUGUAACUGCUUACAUUCCUAUGUGGGUGUGAAAAGUUGGAGGAGAAAAUUACUUUCACCACACUAUACCAAGGCAACUCUUAUAACAGAAAACACUUAACUGCGGGCUUGCUUAUAGUCUAUGCAUAUUAGUCCAUUUUCGUUAUAGCAGGGAGCAUGGCAGUAUAUAGGCAGGCAUGGUGCUGGAGCAGUAGCUGAGAACUUUAUAUCCCAAUCCAUAGGUUGGCACAGGUCAAGAGAGAGAGAGACAGAUAGAGAGAGACAGAGACAGAGAGACAGAGCUUGGUCUAAAUUUUUGUCUCCCCCCCAACCCCUGGUCUAAAUUUUUGAAAUGUCAAAGCUUAGCUCUAGUGGCACAACUCCCCCAACAAGGCCACACCUCCUCUAAGAAGACCACACCUCCUUUAAGAAGACCAUACCUCCUCUAGGAAGACCACACCUCCUCUAAGAAGACCACACCUCCUCUAAGAAGACCACACCUCCCAAUUCUUUUCAACAGUCCACAGCUGGGACCCAAGCAUGAAAACUUAUGCGUCUGUGGAGGCUGAUCUCAUUCAAACAACCACACCUUCUUUAAAAAUGUAUAGUGUGUUGCCAUGUCUUCCUGAUGAUAUCUCUUGCAGAAGGGUCUCUACAAACAGCAAACGACAGCCUCUACAAACAACAAACGACAGCCUCUACAAACAACAAACGACAGCCUCUACAAACAACAAACAACAGUCUACAGAUCCUCUGUUAAUAAAUAGAUGCAGAUUUUUUCAAA